GUCCGGGUAGAGCAUAGUGGACAUGGCAUCUGCCCGGUAAGCGGAACACUGUGGGUUCGAUUCCCAUCCCUUGACA